rfam:Tupaia chinensis contig37179, whole genome shotgun sequence.
GUACUCUCUUCAGUGGCACAUAGCCUAAAAGUGGAAUGAUACAGAGAAGAUUAAUAUGGUGUCUAAGUAAGAGCUGCCUAUGCAAAUUUGUGAAGCUCUCCACAUUUUU